CAGCCGCCGCGGUAACACCAGCUCUUCAAGUGAUCGGGACUAUUAUUGGGCUUAAAGUGUCCGUAGCCGGUUUGGUAAGUCCCUGGUUAAAGCUGGCAGCUUAACUGUCAGUUCGCUAGGGAAACUACCUUACUAGAGGGCGGGAAAGGUGUGAGGUACUCCAGGGGUAGCGGUGAAAUGCGAUAAUCCUUGGGGGACCACCAGUGGCGAAGGCGUCAGACUGGAACGCGCCUGACGGUGAGGGACGAAAGCCAGGGGAGCGAACGGGAUUAGAUACCCCGGUAGUCCUGGCUGUAAACGAUGCGCGCUAGGUGUUGGUAGGGCUAUGAGCUAUAUCAGUGCCGUAGAGAAAUCGUUAAGCGUGCCGCCUGGGAAGUACGCUCGCAAGAGUGAAACUUAAAGGAAUUGGCGGGGGAGCACCACAAGGGGUGAAGCCUGCGGUUCAAUUGGACUCAACGCCGGGAAACUUACCGGGGGCGACAGCAGAAUGAAGGUCAGGCUGACGACCUUACCAGACAAGCUGAGAGGAGGUGCAUGGCC
rnacentral:rRNA from 1 species